rnacentral:rRNA from 1 species
CCUACGGGAGGCAGCAGUGGGGAAUUUUGGACAAUGGGCGCAAGCCUGAUCCAGCAAUGCCGCGUGAGUGAAGAAGGCCUUCGGGUUGUAAAGCUCUUUUGUCAGGGAAGAAACGGUGGGGGCUAAUAUCCUUUGCUAAUGACGGUACCUGAAGAAUAAGCACCGGCUAACUACGUGCCAGCAGCCGCGGUAAUACGUAGGGUGCAAGCGUUAAUCGGAAUUACUGGGCGUAAAGCGUGCGCAGGCGGUUUUGUAAGUUUGUCGUGAAAUCCCCGGGCUCAACCUGGGAAUGGCGAUGAAGACUGCAAGGCUAGAAUCUGGCAGAGGGGGGUAGAAUUCCACGUGUAGCAGUGAAAUGCGUAGAGAUGUGGAGGAACACCGAUGGCGAAGGCAGCCCCCUGGGUCAAGAUUGACGCUCAUGCACGAAAGCGUGGGGAGCAAACAGGAUUAGAUACCCUGGUAGUCCACGCCCUAAACGAUGUCUACUAGUUGUCGGGUUUUAAUAACUUGGUAACGCAGCUAACGCGUGAAGUAGACCGCCUGGGGGAGGUACGGUCGCGAGAAGUUAAACGUUAAAGUUAGUUAAGUUAGUAGGUUCGUUGAGACGUUGCCGACGGACGACGACGAGGGAGGAGG